GUUGCUUCUGCAUUUAUAUUACGUUGAGUGCCCCUUUAUUCGAUUGGGCUUUCUCACUGCGAAGCAUAUAGUUGUGAAAUUGCCAGUUUUAAACAACAUGACGUGUUCUUUUUCUUUGCAUAGUGUUACCUGUCUGCUGGUAAAUCC
rnacentral:snoRNA from 1 species